UCUCGUGUCCCAAAUUAGACUACAAUCUCAGGUAAGCAGAACGAUAGACCUUCCUUGUUUUUCUCUCGCUAACUGUUCCUUUUACUAAUGAUUACCACUGAGCCUGGGCUCUUUGCCUUUUACUCCAGAUCAAGUCAGGCUGCUCUGGCAGAGAACCUGUUGGUUUUCACUGCCAUCCUGCCGCGUUAGCACUUCAUCACCCGUCGAGCUGGGGAGAAGAUUGGGAGGAACCCAGGGGAUACAGCAGUUGUCAAAACAGAUGAGUUUAUCCUCAUGGCUCUCACAUUCUCAGUUGGAGGAGAAAAGUGCACAAAAUUUAUGUAGCACUUUAGAAGCUGUGCAGUGCUUGCUGUUCUGAGGAUUUCCUGGCCAGUUCUGCUGCUUUUGGAUCCAGAGCAGUUUGCAGGUGAAGAAACUAAGACCCAGAAAGAGGAAAUGACUCACCCAAGAUCACACAGUUGGUUUCUAAUAGGUCCUCUCAUCACUAAUGGCCAUAUUGAGCGUAUAAGCCUGUGGUUUCCAUGGAAAUAAAAAGCCUCCACAUGUCCACUCAGAUGCUCACCAACUGAUGAAAGAAUCAUGUCUUGGAGGAAAUUGGAAAUCAAAUUCAGUAAGUGUAUUAUGGGAUCUGGGCUCUGGAGGGGAGGGAGAGUGUUAACAAGGAUACCUGGAGAUGAAAAUACGGACCAGGUAAGCUCUGUUUGGCUUCCUCUUUGCUACUGCUGAUGGGUGCAGUACCUGCUCAGUGGUGUCCUUUGGCUUAAAGGCAUUCCUGUUUCAUAGUCUGCAUUCUGACUGUAAUUUUCAACUCUGCUUCAUUCUACUAAAACUUUCAUUAUCAUUCUCCAAAGAAUUUCUGCU